rfam:Mesocricetus auratus contig197608, whole genome shotgun sequence.
GGGUCAAUAAUGACAUAUCUACGUCAUGAAGAGAGGUGAUGACAAAAAUAUCAUGCUCUGGUUCCAGCUGCUGAGGCCA